rnacentral:rRNA from 1 species
UACGGGGGGGGUAAGCGUUGUUCGGAAUUACUGGGCGUAAAGGGCUCGUAGGCGGCCAACUAAGUCAUACGUGAAAUCCCUCAGCUUAACUGGGGAACUGCGUGUGAUACUGGAUGGCUUGGAUUUGGGAGAGGGAUGCGGAAUUCCGAGUGUAGAGGUGAAAUUCGUAGAUAUUCGGAAGAACACCAGUGGCGAAGGCGACUUACUGGACGACUGUUGACGCUGAGGUGCGAAAGCGUGGGGAGCAAACAGG